rnacentral:rRNA from 1 species
CCUACGGGUGGCUGCAGUGGGGAAUAUUGGACAAUGGGGGCAACCCUGAUCCAGCCAUGCCGCGUGUGUGAAGAAGGCCCUCGGGUUGUAAAGCACUUUCAGUGAGGAAGAACGCCUGGUGGUUAAUACCCAUCAGGAAAGACAUCACUCACAGAAGAAGCACCGGCUAACUCCGUGCCAGCAGCCGCGGUAAUACGGAGGGUGCGAGCGUUAAUCGGAAUUACUGGGCGUAAAGCGCGCGUAGGUGGCUUGAUAAGCCGGUUGUGAAAGCCCCGGGCUCAACCUGGGAACGGCAUCCGGAACUGUCAAGCUAGAGUGAAGGAGAGGAAGGUAGAAUUCCCGGUGUAGCGGUGAAAUGCGUAGAGAUCGGGAGGAAUACCAGUGGCGAAGGCGGCCUUCUGGACUGACACUGACACUGAGGUGCGAAAGCGUGGGUAGCAAACAGGAUUAGAUACCCUGGUAGUC